AACGCAGGUGGUUUGGUAAGUCAGGGGUGAAAGUCCACAGCUUAACUGUGGCACUGCCUUUGAUACUACCUUUCUUGAGUGCAUGAGGGGGAAGCGGAAUUCCGAGUGUAGAGGUGAAAUUCGUAGAUAUUCGGAGGAACACCGGUGGCGAAGGCGGCUUCCUGGCAUGUAACUGACACUCAUGUUCGAAAGCGUGGGGAGCAAACAGGAUUAGAUACCCUGGUAGUCCACGCCCUAAACGAUGGGCGACUAGGUGUGGGAGGUAUCGACCCCUUCCGUGCCGCAGCUAACGCAUUAAGUGCCCCGCCUGGGGAGUACGGCCGCAAGGUUGA
rnacentral:rRNA from 1 species